rnacentral:rRNA from 1 species
GCGUAGACGGUAUGGCCAGCCAGCUGUGAAAGCCCGGCGCUCAACCCCGGGACUGCAUUUGGAACUGUCAGGCUAGAGUGUCGGAGAGGUAAGCGGAAUUCCUAGUGUAGCGGUGAAAUGCGUAGAUAUUAGGAGGAACACCAGUGGCGAAGGCGGCUUACUGGACGAUGACUGACGUUGAGGCUCGAAAGCGUGGGGAGCAAACA